GCACGUACAUGCAUGCUCCUUGUCUUCCCUUUUUUCUUGUUUAUUUUAAGUAUGUUUUUAUGUUUAAUAUAUUUUCAUGAAGUUAAAAAUUUCUCUAACUUACUACAAAUUUGGCAUUUCGCUGGAUACUUGAGGUAAUUUAUGUUUUAUUUAAUAUUGUAUUUAAUUAUUUAAAUAUAACGUGGCUAUUACCAAAGUCUGACAAGUUGUUAGAUCUGAAAAAUAGCAAAAGCCGUGGUUUUAAGCCACUUUCUUUUCCAACCGUGGUUAGAUUCUUCCCAUAAUUAAUAUCGUCACAUUUUUUUAUAACUAUCCGUAGAGAUCUUUGCCAAGUUUUAAAUACAUGGUUAUUAAAUGAACAAAACUGUGCCAAAUUAUAGGUUUGGUUGUAGUGUGUCAGAUUCAAGCGUUGUUGGGCCAAUUAAAGGUAACCUUACAAAGAUAUUUUAUGCAUUGAUAUAAAUUCAAUCAAGACCGCAUGCUUAAGUGGCAAUAUAGUCCAUCUCAUUAACAGCAAUACCUGUUAUUGACCAUUGACAAGUUUUAGCAUCCCAAUUAUAUUAUAUAUUUUUACUAAAUUCACUAGUUAAUGAUUACAUAUACAUAUAUAUAUAUAUAUAUAUAUUGCAUAACAUUUAAAUUUUUAUUUAAUAUUGAUUUAUAUAAAAAUCAAGAAUAUCCCACACACCGCAGGGGUAUAUUGCUAGUUGUUAUAUAAGCCAUGCUUCAUAUAUCAUUCAUAAAUCAAAUGAAAAAUUCCGUUUUUGCGAUAAAUUUAAAACUAAAACACGACUCUCUCAUUAUGCAUAGGGAAACAGACGCACUGAUUUGUAGAUCUUCUGCCUAUAAAAGUUAAGGGGGAAAAAAAAAGCUGAUCCAAAUGAAAAUCUGAGUGGUUUUCGUUUUUCAUAUAGUUGAUUUAUGACUACAAGAAUGGGACUAUUUUUUAAAAUCCUGGAAGGUAAACAAUUUUAUGUUGAAGCAGAGAGCAAGGAAAUAGAGGGAAAUUUCUAUUUGUGAUCAAUGGGUUUGGGGAGUUUUUUUUUUUUUUAGGGGGGGGAGCGAGAGGCGAUGGUGUUGACCUAGAGCAAUUAUUGAAAACACUUCAGAGUCCAUUAACAAGUGAGCUGAGUGGCAGCGGAGAAACAGGCUCUUGACCAGGAUAAUGCAGUUUCCGAGGAGCUUUCCUCGCCCCAUUGCCAUAUACAAUUGAAGAAAUCGUUUGACUAAUUAUGGUUGACUCAAGGCCAUCCCUUAAUUAAUUGGUCAUUGAAAGCUUCCCGCGUUCCCCACAACAGCGUUUGUUCAUCUGUUGUUAUUUUUGUAAUCCAAUCAAACUGAACGAGACAAAACACUGAAUUUCCUUCACUAUUUAUCUCUAUUGGAAUCCCUUCGUUUACCUCUGUUGAGCCCAGGUUUAAUUUUGAUAUCUGGGAAGGGUAGUAACAAAGGCAACAAGAGUUUAUAUAAAAAGUGAUGACGCGAGAUCCGAGAAAAAAGACAGGGCAGGGAGGGGCGAGUGGAGAUGAUGAAAUGUGAUGCAGGAGGGAUUCUAGAGGGAUGAAAAAGGCAAAGCAGAAAGAGCCAACGAAACAUCCCACAAAGCACGCAGUAAAGAAUAAACGUUCAUAUACUCCAAUUCGCUCACUCCAACGCAUUUGGUGGACGCCCACACUCUCCCAAGCAUAUACUUCCAUUCUCCUGUCCGUCCACUAAACCCAGCACUAUCUCUGUCCCCGCUUCGAUUCCUAGAUACGACACCUACUACGUGUAUAUCUCUAUAUCUUCGGCUGGAUAUAGCAUGUGGAUUUGUACUGGAUUAGUUCUGCGUGCAAUGAUUUGGUCUCCACGCAGGUAGUUUUAAUCAGUUGGUUGAGAGGGUGGUUGAAAAGGGAGGCGAAGAUUUGGCCAACCACACGCCAUUCAAAACCAUUACAUACAAUCAAAUAGUGGAGGGCAAAAUA